GUAAUUAUCACUUCGCCGUUUUAUUAAAUGACUAAAAUAUUUCCUAAAAACACCAUUAAUUUCUUUAACUUCUAAAGUGGUUUUGCUAUAUUACUUACUAGUGUUGUUAUUUUGUUUCAGGGUUCGGCUUUGGGCUGAAUAUUGUUUUGAAAAUAUUGCUGAAGUGGAGUUGAAAGACCAUAGGUUAAUUAUAGAGGCCAUAAGUUAUUGUGUAGUAAGCAUUUUGAUCGCAGUGCCUUCACAAAUGAGACGAUGAAAAGGUUAAAUCCUAAUGCUGUUCCAAAUUUGUUGUUCCCACCAUUAUUAGCUGAAUUGUCACAAAUGGAAGAUUCAACGACAACUUCAGUGUCUACUGUGUCUUCAUCUUUUAUACAAUAUCUGCCUAACUCGCCUCUAAAAGUUCAAGCACAGCAAUUGGACAUUACUUUUGUGACUCAACCUGUCAAUUUGAAGAACACAAAAAUUAACAAACAUUUUAAAAG